rnacentral:rRNA from 1 species
AACGAACGCUGGUGGCGUGUUUUAUACAUGCAAGUCGAGCGAGGCGCUGUAGCAAUACAGUAGUCGAGCGGCGAACGGGUGAGUAACACGUGAACAAUCUGCCCCUCAAUUGGGAACAACCGGGCCAACGCCCGGCUAAUGCCGAAUAUAGUGUAGAGUCGCCUGACUUUAUGACGAAAGAUUUAUCGUUGAGGGAUGAGUUCGCGUCCGAUUAGCUAGUAGGCGGGGUAACGGCCCACCUAGGCGACGAUCGGUAGCCGGCCUGAGAGGGUGAUCGGCCACAUUGGGACUGAGAUACGGCCCAGACUCCUACGGGAGGCAGCAGUAGGGAAUAUUGCGCAAUGGGGGCAACCCUGACGCAGCAACGCCACGUGUGGGAAGACGCAUUUCGGUGUGUAAACCACUGUCGAGAGGGAAUAACGGGUAUUUUCGGAUACCGUGAAUGUACCUCUAAAGGAAGCACCGGCAAACUUCGUGCCAGCAGCCGCGGUAAUACGAGGGGUGCAAGCGUUGUUCGGAAUCACUGGGCGUAAAGGGAGCGUAGGCGGACCUACAAGCAUUCCGUAUAAUUCCGGGGCCUAACCCCGGCACUGCGGAUUGGACUGUAGGUCUUGGAUAAUUCAGAGGCAAGCGGAAUUCCUGGUGUAGCGGUGGAAUGCGUAGAGAUCAGGAAGAACACCGAUGGCGAAGGCAGCUUGCUGGAGAUUAAUCGACGCUGAGGCUCGAAAGCGCGGGUAGCAAACAGGAUUAGAUACCCUGGUAGUCCGCGCUGUAAACGAUGCAUACUGGGUGUUCGGAUAUUAUUCGAGUACCGCAGCUAACGCGUUAAGUAUGCCGCCUGGGGAGUACGUACGCAAGUAUGAAACUCAAAGGAAUUGACGGGGACCCGCACAAGCGGUGGAGCAUGCGGUUUAAUUCGAAGCAACGCGAAGAACCUUACCAGGUCUUGACAUCCAAGUGACCAGCAGAGUAACGUCUGCCUUCCUUCGGGACACUUGAGACAGGUGGUGCAUGGUUGUCGUCAGCUCGUGUCGUGAGAUGUUGGGUUAAGUCCCGCAACGAGCGCAACCCCUGUUCUUAGUAGCCAGCGGUUCGGCCGGGCACUCUAGGGAGACUGCCAGGGAUAACCUGGAGGAAAGCGGGGAUGACGUCAAAUCAUCAUGCCCCUUAUGAUCUGGGCUACACACGUGCUACAAUGGCCACUACAAAGAGAGACGAAGUCGUAAGGCGGAGUAGAUCUGAAAAAAGUGGUCUCAGUUCGGAUUGAGGGCUGCAACCCGCCCUCAUGAAGUCGGAGUUGCUAGUAAUCGCGAAUCAGCAUGUCGCGGUGAAUACGUUCCCGGGCCUUGUACACACCGCCCGUCACACCAUGGGAGUUGGGAGCGCCCGAAGUCGGUGAGGUAACCGCAAGGAGCCAGCCGCCGAAGGUGAGAUCAAUGACUGGGGUG